rnacentral:lncRNA from 1 species
AAGAGAGUCUCACAUCUAUGGAUCUUAACCAGGUUUGUAGAGAACUUAAAGGUAUAAACACGUAAUAUGUUCAAUAAACCAUAAAACAGGAACGAACUCACCAAAUUCGUUUAUUAGGGUUUCAAGAAAUUACAGCAAACCACUGAAUCAAGUGUAAAGACUUUCAGAUCUACAACAAUCUAAGCCAAAAACCACCGUCUAACCUCUCUGAUACCACUGUUAUGACUAGGUUUAAGAUAUUAGGCAACAUUCAUCAACCAGAAAUAACAAAAAUAUAACAAAAUUGAAAGACACAGAACAUAAGAGAUCUUCGCCCUAAGGCAAGAGGGUCAAAGUAAGCUCCUAAUUCCCUUUUGUGUUUCCACCACUGGAAGAGAUUAUUGCAUUAACCAGAACCAAAGACCGUCCAGGAUUACAAUUCAAACCCAAACUAAAAAAUCACUCAAGAUUUACAGAAAAACCUCUUGAACUAUACAUGAAAUCAACCACCAUUUACAGAUCAAUCAAGACUUGCAGUACAUGAUUUCAUCUAGAAGAUAAAGUAUCUUCAAUUCGCAAUUGAGAGAAGGGAGUGAAAAAUGAUACUCAUAAGUCAUAGAGAAAGGGAAGAGAAACAGCCCCAAAACGAAUGGAAUGUAUAAUGAAUGAUAACCCUAGAC